GAUGAACGCUAGCUACAGGCUUAACACAUGCAAGUCGAGGGACGGGCGUACGGGUGAGUAAUGCGUACCUAACCUUCCCAUUACUGUGGGAUAACCUGCCGAAAGGCAGACUAAUACCGCAUAGUAAUGGAAGGGGAUGCGUCUGAUUAGGUUGUUGGCGGGGUAACGGCCCACCAAGGCGACGAUCAGUGGGGGUUCGGAGAGGAAGGCCCCCCGCAAUGGAACUGAGGCACAGUCCAAACUCCUACGGGAGGCAGGAGUGAGGAAUAUUAGGCAAUGGACGGAAGUCUGACCCAGCCAAGUAGCGUGCAGGAUGACUGCCUAUGGAUGGUAAUCUGCUUUUGUAUGGGGAUAGGUACCAUAUGAAUAAGGACCGGCUAAUUCCGUGCCAGCAGCCGCGGUAAUUC
rnacentral:rRNA from 1 species